rnacentral:tRNA from 1 species
GCCUGGAUGGCUCAGCUGGAUGAGCAUCAAUCUUUUAAUCUGAGGGUCCAGGGUUCAAGCCCCUGUUCAGGUG